UUAAUUUGAUGCAACGCGAAGAACCUUACCAAGGCUUGACAUACACCGGAAACAUCCAGAGAUGGGUGCCCCGUAAGGUCGGUGUACAGGUGGUGCAUGGUUGUCGUCAGCUCGUGUCGUGAGAUGUUGGGUUAAGUCCCGCAACGAGCGCAACCCUCAUCCUAUGUUGCCAGCGGGUUAUGCCGGGGACUCAUGGGAGACUGCCGGGGUCAACUCGGAGGAAGGUGGGGAUGACGUCAAAUCAUCAUGCCCCUUAUGUCUUGGGCUUCACGCAUGCUACAAUGGCCGGUACAGAGGGCUGCGAUACCGUAAGGUGGAGCGAAUCCCAAAAAGCCGGUCUCAGUUCGGAUUGGGGUCUGCAACUCGACCCCAUGAAGUCGGAGUCGCUAGUAAUCGCAGAUCAGCAACGCUGCGGUGAAUACGUUCCCGGGCCUUGUACACACCGCCCGUCAAGUCACGAAAGUUGGUAACACCCGAAGCUCAUGGCCCAACCCUUGUGGGGGGAGUGUCGAAGGG
rnacentral:rRNA from 1 species